rnacentral:rRNA from 1 species
GACGAACGCUGGCGGCGUGCCUAAUACAUGCAAGUAGAACGAGUGGCGGACGGGUGAGUAAUGUCUGGGAAACUGCCCGAUGGAGGGGGAUAACUACUGGAAACGGUCGCUAAUACCGCAUACCAUCGGAUGUGCCCCGAUGGGAUUAGCUAGUAGGUGGGGUAACGGCUCACCUAGGCGACGAGCCCUAGCUGGUCUGAGAGGAUGAACAGACACACGGGAACUGAGACACGGUCCAGACUCCUACGGGAGGCAGAAGUGGGGAAUAUUGCACAAUGGGCGCAAGCCUGAUGCAGCCAUGCCGCGUGUAUGAAGAAGGCCUUCGGGUUGUAAAGUACUUUCAGCGAGGAGGCGUUACUCGCAGAAGAAGCACCGGCUAACUCCGUGCCAGCAGCCGCGGUAAUUC